UACAGAGGGUGCGAGCGUUGUCCGGAAUCACUGGGCGUAAAGGGCGCGUAGGUGGCCUGAUAAGUAGGGGGUGAAAUCUCGAGGCUCAACUUCGAGGCUGCCUCCUAAACUGUCAGGCUUGAGCAGAGUAGAGGCAGGUGGAAUUCCCGGUGUAGCGGUGGAAUGCGUAGAGAUCGGGAAGAACAUCGGUGGCGAAGGCGGCCUGCUGGACUCUUGCUGACACUGAGGCGCGACAGCGUGGGGAGCAAACAGG
rnacentral:rRNA from 1 species